CCCUUAGAUGUCCUGGGCCGCACGCGUGCUACACUGAUGCAUACAGCGAGUACUCCCAGCUCCGCGAGGCUGCUGGUAAUCAGCAAUAUGCAUCGUGAUGGGGAUAGAUCUUUGGAAUUAUAGAUCUUGAACGAGGAAUUCCUAGUAAACGCAAGUCAUCACCUUGCGUUGACUAAGUCCCUGCCCUUUGUACACACCGCCCGUCGCUCCUACCGAUUUCGAGUGAUCCGGUGAAUCAUUCGGACCGUGUGGGCUUGACCUAACGUGGAAAGUCUAGUAAACCAUAUCACUUAGAGGAAGGAGAAGUCGUAACA
rnacentral:rRNA from 1 species